GACCGGGAGUUGGCUAACUACAGCCUGGAAAAAAUGCAAAACAGACAAAUGCACCCUCGGGGGACAGCGGGAGAAAGCUAAUAGACCAGUCCCCGAAUCCCCACCCACGGAGGUGGUUUAGGUGGGAAGCAUGAUGUGUUUGUCAAGGGGGACCCAAGGCUGCCUUCCUACUGAUUCUCUCCCGCCUUGGGCCGCCUCUGCUCAGCCGGCGGGGAGGAAGUCAGGUGCUGAUGUUCCAGAACGAGCUCUGCCACCCAGAGGCUAUGUGACUUGGGCUAAGCCCUUACCCUCCCGCACCUCAUUUACCCCAUCCACGCCGCAGGGGUGUGGCCCAGAUAAUUUCAGACUGCGUGAGGCUCUGCGGAGGGCCCUGAAGCUGUUGGGGACGGCCAAAGUGCCACAGAGGUGACUCUACCACCAGACUCCCAGACUCCUGGAUCUGAGCAGACACUGAUGGCACUACUGAGGGCUAAGCACGUUCGAGAGGGGCCGGCAAAGAGGGACUGAACCCAAUCCCGGCUUCCAGAAGUUCCCACCAGGUGGAGCUCGAACUCACAACCCUAGGACCAAGAGUCAUAUGAUCUUCCGGCUGAGCCAGCCAGGCGCCCCAGAGAAGGUAACGUUUGAAUACAGACCUGAAGGGGAUGACAGAGGGAGCCAUGAGGCGAUCCGGGGGAAGAGCAUUCCGGCAAAGGACACAGCGCACGCAAAGGCAUUCCUGAGGCAGGAAUGUGGCCGGUACAUUUGGGG